rnacentral:rRNA from 1 species
GACAGAGGGUGCAGACGUUGUUCGGAAUUACUGGGCGUAAAGCGUGCGUAGUCGGUUAUCUAAGUCGGGUGUGAAAUCCCCGGGCUCAACCUGGGAAUUGCAUUCGAUACUGGAUAGCUAGAGUUCGGCAGAGGGAAGCGGAAUUUCGGGUGUAGCGGUGAAAUGCGUAGAUAUCCGAAGGAACAUCAGUGGCGAAAGCGGCUUCCUGGACCAGAACUGACGAUCAGGCACGAAAGCGUGGGGAGCAAACAGG